rnacentral:rRNA from 1 species
AGUGAACGCUGGCGGUAGACCUAACACAUGCAAGUCGAACGGCAGCACAGUAAGAGCUUGCUCUUACGGGUGGCGAGUGGCGGACGGGUGAGGAAUACAUCGGAAUCUACUUUUUCGUGGGGGAUAACGUAGGGAAACUUACGCUAAUACCGCAUACGACCUACGGGUGAAAGCAGGGGAUCUUCGGACCUUGCGCGAUUGAAUGAGCCGAUGUCGGAUUAGCUAGUUGGCGGGGUAAAGGCCCACCAAGGCGACGAUCCGUAGCUGGUCUGAGAGGAUGAUCAGCCACACUGGAACUGAGACACGGUCCAGACUCCUACGGGAGGCAGCAGUGGGGAAUAUUGGACAGUGGGCGCAAGCCUGAUCCAGCCAUACCGCGUGGGUGAAGAAGGCCUUCGGGUUGUAAAGCCCUUUUGUUGGGAAAGAAAAGCAGCAGGUUAAUACCCCGCUGUUCUGACGGUACCCAAAGAAUAAGCACCGGCUAACUUCGUG